UAGCCUGCCCACUGAUGGAGUAUAAAAUUUAAUGGCCGCGGUAUUAAUGACCGUGCAAAGGUAGCAUAAUCAUUAGUCUUUUAAUUGAAGGCUUGUAUGAAUGGUUGGACAAAAGGAAAACUGUCUUCUUUAAUAAGGAUUGAAUUUAACUUUUAAGUGAAAAGGCUUAAAUAUCUCAAAGGGACGAUAAGACCCUAUAAAGCUUUAUAUAAAAUAAAAUUUAGACUGAAAUGUUUACUUUUAAAGGUUAAGGUUUGUAUUAAUAUUGGGUUGGGGCAACAAGAGUGUAAUAAUUUAGUAACUACUAUUUUAUGGUUUUAUACAAAUAUAUUUGUGUUAUGUUUUAAUGAUCCUUAUUUAAAGAUUAAAAGACUAAGUUACUUUAGGGAUAACAGCGUUAUUUUUUUUGAGAGUUCAUAUUGAAAAAAGAGCUUGCGACCUCGAUGUUGAAUUAAAAUUUCUAUGUAGUGCAGUUAUUACAUAAGAGGGUCUGUUCGACCUUUAAUUUUUUACAUGAUUUGAGUUCAGACCGGUGUGAGCC
rnacentral:rRNA from 1 species